UUCCUCUGCUUUUCUGCUCCAGGACCCAAUCGUAGCCACUUCAGCUGGCCCAGGCUUUCCUGAAAUGUGAAGACAGCGAACUCCCACUCUUCCUCCUGCAGGCUGGUGGCAAAAACACAAAGUCCACUUGAGACCACGAAGUCCAAGGAUCCUUGCUUAUUCCUGGAAUAUACUAGGAAAGAUACAGGCACCGUGCAGCAGGUGCUGUGUUCUAGCUGCUCUGUUAACUGCCAGUUACCUCAUUUGAUCCUGAUGACAACCCUUGGGUAAACAAAGGAUCCAGGCCACUGUAACAUUAAAGUACAUCAAGUCAAACUGAACAAGGAAGAAAGCAAAGGAAUCGUUGAACCAAAGGAGAAG